AUUGAACGCUGGCGGCAGGCCUAACACAUGCAAGUCGAGCGAGAGGAGGACGGGUGAGAAAUGUAUGGGGACUGCACGAUAGAGGGGGCUAACUACUGGAAACGGUGGCUAAUACCGCAUACUGUCGGAUCAGCCAUAUGGGAUUAGCUAGUAGGUAAGGUAAUGGCUUACCUAGGCGACGAUCCCUAGCUGGUCUGAGUGGAUGAUCAGCCACACUUGGACUGGGACCCGGCCCAGACUCCUACGGAGGCAGCAGUGGGGAAUAUUGCACACUGGGCGCAAGCCUGAUGCAGCCAUGCCGCUGGUAUGAAGAAGGCCCUAGUGUUGGAAAGUACUUUCAGUCGGGAGGCGUUACCUACAGAAGAAGCACCGGCUAACUCCGUGCCAGCCGCCGCGGUAAUAC
rnacentral:rRNA from 1 species